CGGACUUUCUCUCACCCGCCGGGCGCUGCGUCCUGCAGUCCCAGCCUCCCUUGGGGACAGGGAGCACCUUCCCCAAAGCCAGGAGAAGAGGUCUCCCUGGACAAGGACAUCCUGCUUGCCCUGCCUGGGUGUGUUUAGAGGAGCCACCGGCGGUUUAACUUCACAGCCCAUUUAUUGGCCCGCACUUACAAAAAGCCCCAGGUUUAAUUCUUGGUUUGGGCCUAGGAGCUGAACUGGCUUCUAAAACACUUCUUUCAUUUUUAUUUAUUUCAACUCUUUGGGCAAUCCGGGAUAUGACGAGCAAAUUAUUCUUAUGCAAGGCAGUCACUUGGGUCUGAUUAUUCAUUUCUGGGCUUUGCAGGUGUUUGAACUGCUUCUGCUCAGUCAAUAUGCAAAGAACUGGGUGGUGAUCCUAAGAGCACUCCCAUAUACACAUCCAGCACCUUAAAAAUCCAUCAGACUCUGCUUCCUAAGGAUCCCAACCUGAAAAAGUUGGUGCUAGGAGUGGCCCCAGAAAGCAUAUGUUAAGAUCAGCUCUUGGAGUUGUAUUACCCACCAACCCAGCUGGAAAAAGUAUACCAUCACUGGAGCUAGCUGGAGCACAGAUAAUGCUGGCACAAGGCUGGAGGGCAGUGGCAGCUUCAACCUCCUGGGCUCAAGGAAUCCUCCUGCCUCAGAUUCCUGAGUAGCUGGGAUAAUAGACACAUGCCACUAUGUGUUGCGGGAAGUCAGGGACCCCAAACGAAGGGACUGGCUGAAGCCAUGGCAGAAGAACGUGGAUUGUGAAGAUUUCAUGGACAUUUAUUAGUUCCCCAAAUUAAUACUUUUAUAAUUUCUUUUGCCUGUCUUUACUGCAAUCUCUAAAUUGUGAAGAUUUCAUGGACACUUAUCACUUCCCCAGUCAAUACCCUUGUGAUUUUCUAUGCCUAUCUUUACUUUAAUCUCUUAAUCCUGUCAUCUCAUAAACUGGGGAGGAUGUAUGUCGCCUCAGGACCCUGUGAUGAUUGCAUUAACUGCACAAAUUGUAGAGCAUGUGUGUUUGAACAAUAUGAAAUCUGGGCACCUUGAAAAAAGAACAGGAUAACAGCAAUGUUCAGGGAAUAAGAGAGAGAACCUUAAACUCUGACCACUGGUGAGCCAGGCGGAACAGAGCCAUAUUUCUCUUCUUUCAAAAGCAAAUGGGAGAAAUAUCGCUGAAUUCUUUUUCUCAGCAAGGAACAUCCCGGAGAAAGAGAAUGCGCCCCUGUGGGUGAGCCUCUAAAAUGGCCCCCUUGGGUGUGGCCGUCUUCUAUGGUGGAGACUGUAGGGAUGAAAUAAGGCCCAGUCUCCCAUAGCGCUCCCAGGCUUAUUAGGACGAGGAAAUUCCCGCCUAAUAAAUUUUGAUCAGACCGGUUGCUGUCAAACCCUGUCUC
rnacentral:lncRNA from 1 species